CCCCUCGUCCUGUUGUUAUCUGCCCUUAUAAAAAGUCCCUCCCCUGUCUUUCUUGUGUGUAUUCUGUUCUCCAUGUGCGAUUUUCCACUUCCCUGCUUCAAGAUCUGAAUGGUCAGAAUCUAAUCCUCUCAUCACCUGAACAACUCGCAGACAGCAGUGGUCUCUUUGAAAAUCUGGUCCAUGCUGCUGCUUGCUGGGCCUUGAGGCAACACAGUUACAUUGAAGAUACUUAACAAUACUUGUCACUGGUGUGAGAACCUGUGGAAAGGAGAGUCACCAGGGAGCCAAACUUACAGAAUUUAAGUGUAGAGCAUCAGGCACACUGCCGCCAGUCUCCUCACCUCACCAAGACACCAGGACAACGCAGUGCUCACGGAUGGUUUGAAACGAUCCAGUGA
rnacentral:lncRNA from 1 species